rnacentral:rRNA from 1 species
AUUGAACGCUGGCGGCAGGCCUAACACAUGCAAGUCGAACGAGUGGCGGACGGGUGAGUAAUGUCUGGGAAACUGCCCGAUGGGGGGGGAUAACUACUGGAAACGGUAGCUAAUACCGCAUACCCUCUGAUGUGCCCAGAUGGGAUUAGCGAGUAGGGGGGGUAACGGCUCACCUAGGCGACGAUCCCUAGAUGGUCUGAGAGGAUGACCAGCCACACUGGAACUGAGACACGGUCCAGACUCCUACGGGAGGCAGCAGUGGGGAAUAUUGCACAAUGGGCGCAAGCCUGAUGCAGCCAUGCCGCGUGUAUGAAGAAGGCCUUCGGGUUGUAAAGUACUUUCAGCGAGGAGGCGUUACUCGCAGAAGAAGCACCGGCUAACUCCGUGCCAGCAGCCGCGGUAAUUC